rnacentral:rRNA from 1 species
CUACGGGAGGCAGCAGUCGAGAAUCAUUCGCAAUGGGCGAAAGCCUGACGAUGCGACGCCGUGUGAGCGAUGAAGGCCUUCGGGUUGUAAAGCUCUUUCGCCUGGGAACAAGAGAAGCUGGCUAACAUCCAGCAGAUUUGAGGGUACCAGGUAAAGAAGCACCGGCUAACUCCGUGCCAGCAGCUGCGGUAAUACGGAGGGUGCAAGCAUUAAUCGGAUUUAUUGGGCGUAAAGGGCGCGUAGGCGGAAUGAAAAGUCAGAUGUGAAAUCCCGGGGCUCAACCUCGGAACAGCAUUUGAAACUCUUAUUCUAGAGGGUAGGCGGAGAAAACGGAAUUCCACAAGUAGCGGUGAAAUGCGUAGAUAUGUGGAAGAACACCGGUGGCGAAGGCGGUUUUCUAGCUUAUUCCUGACGCUGAGGCGCGAAAGCAAGGGGAUCAAACAGGAUUAGAUACCCCAGUAGUCC